AUGUUCCUGAGAUACUUCAAGGGUCGCUCGCGGAGUGUCUUCGUUAACACGAGCGAGGUCGACGUGGCCUCACCUGUCACGUCGUGGACACUUUUGUUCUUGUUUCAGAACAAGAACACGUGGAAGAGUUUAGUCCAAAAUGAUGCAUCCAUUCAAGAGUUUACGUGGUUCAAUUCCAAUUGGGGUACCUUUUCUUUAAAGGGACAGCGAGUAACUCCAGACUAAAAGAAGGAAAAUAGAUUUUCCAGAAACAGAUGAAGGAAUGUUUUCUUCACGUGGAUUUAUCAUUUGGAAUAGUUUUUGUUCCAUAUAUCUUAAAUAUCUAAGUGGUGCAUAGAAGUGACUCUUGCAGUUGGUAGAUGUGUUUUGUUUUUUAUUUCUCUUAUUGGGUAGCACUACUCAACUUAGUGGCCUAUAUUUCAGCAUAAUAGGGCUCUUGAUUUUCUUAUUUUCCUCUUUUAAGCCUUUUUUAAAAACCGCUUUACUUUGAUAUGUGAUGUAAUUUUCCAGUGCUAGAAUUAUGCGGCACUAAUGGGGGGAGGAAGGAUUCCUGUUGUUAUGAUAUUCAAGAUGUUUGAUGAAUUUUUUGUGCUUUUAUGCGUUUUAUUAUUUUGUACUGUACUUCAAUACUUUUUUAAAAUAUGCAUAAUGAUGUGACGCUGUUUAUUUGAAUGUCAUUUUUAAUGGUCCAAUUUGGGUUUGAUCAGAAGGUGAGCGGACAAGUUUUAAUGUGUCCCGACUGCAGUUUUGUCUGUUUUACUGCUAAUAUGAAUUAUGUAUGAUGAUGAUGAUUACGUUGUAAUGUAUCUGAUCUUCUGAAGCAUGUUUUGCAAACCCUUAUUGUACAGAUUAUGUAUUCAUUGUCAUGUUGUUGCUUUCUGUGUGUUUCUUGUAAGAGGCUUUUAAUUAAAAGGUCUUUCAAAUGCAGGGAGGGGAUUCUUGGCGAGUUUCUCUUUUAAAUGUUGCUCUAGAGAUUUUAGACUAAGCACACCGCUACGACAGAAGUCAGGUAAAAAGUACACAAAACUACUGUAUUAUCUGAAAACAAGCAGUCCCUUUAUACCCACUUUGAAAAAGUGCACGUAUUAAAAAAGCCCUCAAAGUAGUUGCAGACGCUUUGUUGUGACUGUAGUUCCCAGGUGUGCCACGUGGCGGCGCUGUUGAACCAUUGAAUCGACUCCCGGUCAGACGAUUGUGCGGCCUGGGGUGACAUUAAGGUCAUUAAUCCUCUCUCGGAGAUGCAGUGAUGACAUGAAUCAAUAUAACCUUAUUUUACUUAGUUUCUGUAAAGGUUCAGCUCUCAAAACCAGGUUAGCGGGUGGUCAUCUCCACUGCAUGUCCAUUCCCUCUUUACUCCUCUUGUCAAUUCUGUGGUUGGAUAAUGUGGGGCUUAUGAGCCAGAUGGAACUGAAGUAAACAGGGUUUGAUGUGUGAUCUGUGCAUCAGCCACCUCUGCAGAUUAAUGCAGAAUCUAGGCUACUGGUCACAGCAGGGGAAGCCUGACCUGACUGGUGUGUGAGCGUCUGCCUCAGAGAUAUUUGACCUUCAUUUACAAAGAGCCAGCUUAUUUCUAGCAGGUAGCUUCCGAUUGAAGACUGAGAUGUAAAAUAUUUUAAUCACAUUCAUUUUAGGAGAGGGAUGGGGUGCGUAGGCUCCUAUUAUUUGUUAAAAUAUUAAGGUCAGAUGUUUAAAAUGUAACUGAGACAUUUUCUUUUCUGGAUGUCGAUAAUAUGUCUAAUUUUCAAUUUACUCAAAAU
ensembl:lncRNA